AUGGGGUGCAGCAGGGGCGAAACCUCCGCAAUACACGAAAGUGUGACGGGGUUACCCAAAGUGUUCUCUUUAGAACUGUGGUAGGUGAGUAAUGUCCCCUGCUAGAAAGGAGAGGGCAAGGCUGGUGCCAGCCGCCGCGGUAAAACCAGCUCUUCAAGUGGUCGGGAUAAUUAUUGGGCUUAAAGUGUCCGUAGCCGGUUUAGUUAGUUCCUGGUAAAAUCGGGUAGCUUAACUAUCUGCAUGCUAGGAAUACUGCUAUACUAGAGGGCGGGAAAAGUCUGAGGUACUACAGGGGUAGGGGUGAAAUCUUAUAAUCCUUGUAGGACCACCAGUGGCGAAGGCGUCAGACUGGAACGCGCCUGACGGUGAGGGACGAAAGCCAGGGGAGCGAACCGGAUUAGAUACCCGGGUAGUCCUGGCCGUAAACGAUGCAUACUAGGUGAUGGUACGGCCAUGAGCCGUAUCAGUGCCGUAGGGAAACCGUUAAGUGUGCCGCCUGGGAAGUACGGUCGCAAGGCUAAAACUUAAAGGAAUUGGCGGGGGAGCAC
rnacentral:rRNA from 1 species